CCGCGCGGCGGGCGGCCCCGCGUGAGGCGCCGGCGCAAGGGAAGGCUGGGGGCUUGGCGGCCCCAGGCGGCGGCGAGCCCAGAACGGCCCGGCCCCACAGAAAGGAGGCGCCUGCGCUAGGGCAGCGCCUGAACCUCACUCCAGGUGGCAGAGGAGGAAAAGGAGAAGGAAGGGGCCGGGCCGGGUCCCCGCCCCUCGCGCUCCGGAUGGAAGUGCCGGGCCCGGUGUCCCGGCGGGCGGCGGCUGCGGCGGCGGCCACCAUGCUCCUGCGCACAGCUCGGGUCCCUCGUGAGUGCUGGUUCUUGCCCACCGCGCUGCUCUGCGCCUACGGCUUCUUCGCCAGCCUCAGGCCGUCCGAGCCGUUCCUGACUCCCUACCUGCUGGGGCCCGACAAGAACCUAACCGAGAGGGAGGUCUUCAAUGAAAUUUAUCCAGUGUGGACUUACUCUUACCUGGUGCUGCUGUUUCCUGUGUUCCUUGCCACAGACUACCUCCGUUAUAAACCUGUUGUUCUGCUGCAGGGACUCAGCCUUAUUGUUACAUGGUUCAUGCUGCUCUAUGCCCAGGGACUGCUGGCUGUUCAGUUCUUGGAAUUCUUCUAUGGCGUCGCCACAGCCACUGAAAUUGCCUAUUACUCAUAUAUCUAUAGUGUGGUAGACUUGAGCAUGUACCAGAAAGUCACAAGUUACUGUCGAAGUGCCACCUUGGUGGGCUUCACAGUAGGCUCUGUCCUAGGGCAAAUCCUUGUCUCGGUGGCAGGCUGGUCCUUGUUUAGCCUGAAUGUCAUCUCUCUUACCUGUGUUUCUGUGGCUUUUGCUGUGGCCUGGUUUCUGCCUAUGCCACAGAAGAGCCUUUUCUUUCACCACGUUCCUUCUGCCUGCCAGGGAAUGAAUGGCAUCAAGGUACAAAAUGGCGGCAUGGUUACUGACACCUCAGCUUCUAACCACCUUCCUGGGUGGGAGGACAUUGAGUCCAAAAUCCCUUUAAAUGUGGAGGAGCGUCCCAUGGAGGAGCCGGAACCCAAGCCAGACCAUCUCCUUGUGCUGAGGGUACUGUGGAAUGACUUCUCUGUGUGCUACUCCUCUCGCCCUCUGCUCUGCUGGUCCGUGUGGUGGGCCCUCUCCACUUGUGGCUAUUUUCAAGUUGUGAACUACACACAGGGCCUGUGGGAGGUGGUGAUGCCUUCUCGCGAUGCUGCUAUCUAUAACGGUGGUGUGGAGGCCGUUUCAACCUUACUGGGUGCUGUUGCCGUGUUUGCAGUUGGUUACAUAAAAAUAUCCUGGUCAACUUGGGGAGAAAUUGCACUGUCUCUGUUUUCUCUCCUGAUUGCUGCCACAGUAUAUAUCAUGGACACUGCAGGGACCAUCUGGGUGUGCUACGCAUCCUACGUGGUCUUCAGAAUCAUCUACAUGUUACUCAUCACUAUAGCAACUUUUCAGAUUGCGGCAAACCUCAGCAUGGAGCGCUACGCCCUAGUGUUUGGUGUAAACACCUUCAUUGCUCUCGCACUGCAGACUCUGCUCACUCUAAUUGUGGUAGAUGCCAGUGGCCUUGGCUUAGAAAUUACCACUCAGUUUCUGAUCUACGCCGGUUAUUUUGCACUCAUCGCUGUGGUUUUCCUGCUUAAUGGUGCAGUCAGUGUUAUGAAGAAAUAUAGAAAGCAGGAAGAUCCAGAAUCAAGUUCUCAAGUAACCACUUCAUAAUAUACUGCUGACGAGCUGCUGCUUCUAGCAAGAACUCUGCACAGCACUGUGCCUGGAUGUAUUUCAUUUUUGAAGAUGUGGACACAUAUUUAUGAAUGUGUAUUUCAUGGCUUCAGAGCAGCCGCUUGACUAUGUCAUGUGUUCCUGGAGUAACAUAAUACUGUUCAGAGGAGCCAGAAGUGAAGUUUAUUUUGUGGGUUAUUUAUGAGAGCUAAUUUAAGUCUGACUUUUUUCUGAUUCAAAAACAAACUUGACUUUGAAAACCAAGUAGUCAAGAGCACUCAAGCAGCACAUGCUGUUAUACAUAUGAUAGCAGGAUGCCAAAAAUCCUGGAAGACCUACCCGCGAUGUUCUGGGAGUGUGGACAAAGGUGGACCUUGACCUCCGGAUCAGUACUUAGGAUGGAGCCCUUGGACGGAACAGCUACCUGGAAAUUCUUGCCUGGGUCUUGUGCUUGACUGAUUAAGAAGCCAUAGGCCAGAGAAUGUGUCCAUAGGGAAAUUAGUCGUCUGCUUAAAGAUCUGUUUUUACCUCCAACUCUCGUAAUUAAUUCCCAGUUACAGUUUGAUGAUUCUUUACUCCCUGCCCUGAUUUUUUCUUUGCAUUUUGGUCUCCUUUCCUUAGUUAUAAGCCAUUUCAUACUUACCCAAAGUCAUUCCUCCACAGCCAUUUAAAUUUAAAAAAUAUCUAGCUAUGUCUAGUGGUAGAAAGGACUCCAGCAUUAAGCCAGAGGUCCUAGGCGGGAUGUGAAGUAGUCCCAGAUGGUAGGAACGCCUGGUUUAUAGUAGAAACAAUAUUUUAAAAAUCGUCCCUAGAGGAAAGCAUUCCCUUUUAAGCCCCUGCGCUGAUAGAGUUGUGCACAGUGUGGAACAGAAAAUCACAAAGAGGAUACCAUAAUCUUCAAUAAGUAGCCUCCUAGGAAGGGCCCUAAAAUCCCACCUCAUAACAUACAAUCAAAUGUUACUAAUUGAGCUUUAUUGUGGUUGGCAAAUAUUCUGAUUUCAUGGUUAUUUUAACAUUAUUGUGUGGUUUUAAAAGCAUUAUGUGGUCAUGGUAAGAAAUUUGGGAAAUGUAAAAAAGCAUAUGGAAUAAUUAUUACUCCUAAUAUUUGUCAACUCUAAUCCCCUGUGCAUGACUUUUGUCCUCUCACAACCCACAAGAAACCACAGCAGAGCAUAAGUAGUUACUAGGACUCUUAGUGGCAGAUCACUCUCAGAUCAAAUAAAGGUAUAAAAUAUUUACUAUUAGAAAUUAAUGUCAUUAAAAAUUAAAUACAUUAUUUUAAAAAUUACCAAAGACAUAAAUAAGCAACCAUGAGUAAGAAUCAGCAGAAACAACAACAGAUGAAGAGACCUAAUGGUUUCAGAUAUUGGAAUUAUCAGAUACAGAGUAUGAAAUGAAUAUCUAUAAAACGUUAAAUAUAAAAAAUGUUUAAAAAUGGGCAAGUAACAAGACUAACAAAAAUGAAAAGACUGGCUUGAUUUUCAAAGAACUGAAAAAUAUAUUUUAGAAAUUAAAAUAGAAAUGUUGAAGUUAAAAUUCAAUGGAUUAUGUCUCAUAAAUUGCUGAUGAGGGUGUAAAUUGGUACAACUCCUUUGAAGAGCAUUUUGCUGUUGUCCUUUAAAGUUAAAGAUAGGCAUAGUCUAUGACCCAGCAAUUCCACUCCUAGGUAUAUACCACAGAGCUGCACUUUCAAAUAUGGCAACUACUAGACACUUGGGACUGCAAGCAUACUCUGUUUUAUUGUGCUUUGCUUUAUUGUGCUUCACAGAUAAUGCAUUUUCUACUAAUUAUUACCCUCCACCAGCAAAAGAUUACAACUUGCUGAAGGCUCAGAUGAUGGUUAGCAUGUUUUAGCAAUGAAAUAUUUUUAAAUUAAGUGGUCUGGAACUUAAGCUGAAGUAUCUCCAAGGUAUGCCUGUAUUGAGUGAGUAUUAGAAAUGUGACUAUACAGGAGUGAAAAUUGAUCAACCAGAGCUACAAGCAACAAUUUCAAUGAAUCUUAUGAACAUAAUUUUGAGCAAAAGAACUAAGAUAUAAUAGAAUAUAUCAAUACAAUUCCACUUGUUCAAAAGGAGACAAACUAUAUUGUUUAAAUCUAUAUACAGAAGUGGUAAAAGUAUAAAACAAACACAUUAUUACUAUAAAAUUCUUUCAAAUAUUUACUUCUAAGGAAUGGAAGAGAGAUAUGAUUAAGAAGGGGCACACAUCCUUCUGGGGUACUUUUGUUUUAUUUCUUGACUUGGAAGAUGAUACAAGUGUGCUUCCUAUAUGAUUCUUCAUUAUACAAUACACUUAUGUUUUAUGUUUUUUUCUGUAUGUUCCUUAAAUUUCACACUAAAAACACUAAAAACUCAAUAACUAGGUUAAAUAGCACAUUAAAGACAGCUGAAAAGAGAAUUAGUGAAGUGGAAAAUAAAACUGAAGAAAUUACCUAGUAUGCAGUAAAGAGACAAUGCCUUUAAAAACGUAAAAAGAGGUUGAGAUAUAUUGUAGAAUAUUUUGUCUCCUCUGUUAUAUCUACUCUUUCCUUCUAAGGCUACAAUAUGACAGAAUUUUGCAGAACUGGUGAGAACAAGAACCCACAGAUACAGGAAUCAUAGUGCAUCACAAGAAAAAUGACUAAAAAAAUAAUAAAUUCACACCUAGACACACAGUAGUAAAAUUGCAAUUAACUUAGGACAAAGAGAAGAUCAUAAAAGCAACCAGAGAGAAAAGACAGAUCAUCCAUAAAAGAACACAAUUAGCUGACAGCCAGUUUCUCAAGAACACCAAUGGAGGCCAGAAGACAAUGUAAUGAAUGCUUCAAAUUACUGAGAGAAAAUAACUGUCUGCCUAGAACUGUGUACCGAGAACAAUGGUCUUUUAAAAACAAGAGUAAAGUAAAAAUAUUUACAGAUGAACAAAAAUGGAAAAACUUUACACCAACAACAGGUUAUCUCAGGAGAAAGGCACAAGACUCUAGUAGGAAGAUCCGAUAUGCAAGAAGCUAGGAUGAAGCUAGGAAAAGCUAGGGGUAAGCAUUUAUAUAAAUCUAAAUGAACAUUAACUUUAUUAAUUAAUAACGAUAAAACAUUUUGUGGUUUAUAUUUUAAAAUACUACACAUGGAGAGUAUAUAAAUUGGGCUGAUGAGGGAUGCUUAGAAAUAAAGCAUCCUAAAGUACUUACGUUAUUCAUGAGGAAUAUUAAGAUACAGAUUAAAUUAGAUUUUGUUAAAUUAGGUAUCAUAGUGAAGUUUAAAGAGCAGCAAAGUAUAAAAGUAGAGUGUAUAAUUUACCAAACAAUUGAGUGAAUAAACUGGAACAAAAACAAACCUAAUGGAUGAUUUUACCAGCAGUAAUCAUACAACCUGGCUUUGUGAAGGUUCCCAAAGUGUUGUGGCCAUAGGCACUCAGGCACCUGCCCUCCUCACCACAAACCACUGCCAAGAAGGGAUAGUAAAGAAAGAGCCCUAGAGGACAUUGGCAAGGCUGUCAUCUAACCCAGUUCCUGAAGAAGUUGAAACCAAACCAAAGAGGGCAAUAAGAAAGGGUCCAGCUUCCAGCAAAAAAGAAUUUACAAGUCAUGCCAAAAGGCAGAAAAAAUACAGAGACAGAAAAAGCCUCACAAUUGGACUCAGAUUGACACAGGAAUUGGAAUAAGUAAACUGAGAAUUUAACUAUCAUCAAUAUGUUAAGGGCUCUUGUGGAAAGUAUAAGACAACAUGCAUGAACAGAUGAGUAAUGUAAGCAGAGAUAUGGAAACUCUAAGAAAGAAUCAAAAGGAAAUGCUGGAAAUCAAAAGCACUGUGACAGAAAUGAAGAACGCCUUUGACAGGAUCAUCAGUACACUUGACAUGGCAGAAGAAAGAACCAGUAAGUUCGAAGACCAGCCAAUGGAAACUUCCCAAAAUUAAAUGCAAAGUGAAAAAAAGAAAAACAUGCAAGGACUGUGGGACGAUUAAGGGUGUACUAUACAUGUAACUGGAAUACUAAAAAGAGAAGGAGGAAAGAAUGGAGCAGAAGAAAGACUUGACGUACUAACGGCCCAAGAACUUCCCUGAACUAAUGACAGACGGCAAACCAAAGAUCCAGAAGUCUCAGCAGGAUAAAUAUAUAAAAAAAAAUCUACACCUGGGCACACCAUAAUGAAACUGCAAAAAACUAAAGACAAACAAAACUUGAAAGAAGCCAGAAUUUGGAAAAAACUUACCUGUAGGGGAAAAAAGAUAGGAAUUAUAGCAGAUUCUUGUCAGAAACCACGUAAGCAAGAGGAGAGUGGAGUGAAAUAUUUAAAAUAUUGAAAGAAAAAACCCAUCAACCUAGAAUUCUAUAUCCAGCAAAAUUAUCCUUCACAAGUAAAGGAUAAAGACUUUCUCAGAAAAGCAAAACCUGAGAGAAUUCAUUACAAGCAAGAAAUGUUAAACUGUUCAGUCCUGAAAGAAAUGCUAAUAGAAGUUCUUCAGGGAGAAGGAAAAUGAUAUAGGUCAGAAGCUUAGAGCUACACAAAGGAAAGAAGAAUGUCAGAGAAGGAAUGAAUGAAGUGAAGCAUUGAUUACAGGAUCCCUAAUCACGUGCUGAGGAAGCUAGAACCUCACAGCCCGAGGUCCCUUGAAACUUCUGCCUCGUGGGGGCUGCACACACACGCAAAAGCACUGAACACACGAAACAACUGCUGAACAAGUGAACGUAAUUAUGCUGUAAAUCUUGUCUUACUUAGAUGGUUCAUUUUAAGGAGUAUAUUGCUGGCAUACAAGCUAGAAGUGGAAUUGUCUGCUGCUAAGGGUCACAAGCAAACUCAAGCCCUCCAGCCUUUAGUGUGACACACUUGUAAUAGAAAAUUAUAGAAAGAAUGUCUUGAUUUUCUUGAUAGUUGCUAUAUUUUCAUUAUAACUAUAUCUAGAUAUGAGGUAAAUAUGAUAUGUAAUAUAGAUGCAUACUGAUAGAUGUUAUGUGUCAAAUCCAUACAUAACUAUAAUAAAAGUAUCGAUAGUCAUCUCAAUAACGCA